rnacentral:rRNA from 1 species
GACGAACGCUGGCGGCGUGCCUAAUACAUGCAAGUAGAACGCUGAAGAGAGGAGCUUACUCUUCUUGGAUGAGUUGCGAACGGGUGAGUAACGCGUAGGUAACCUGCCUUGUAGCGGGGGAUAACUAUUGGAAACGAUAGCUAAUACCGCAUAACAAUGGAUGACACAUGUCAUUUAUUUGAAAGGGGCAAUUGCUCCACUACAAGAUGGACCUGCGUUGUAUUAGCUAGUAGGUGAGGUAAUGGCUCACCUAGGCGACGAUACAUAGCCGACCUGAGAGGGUGAUCGGCCACACUGGGACUGAGACACGGCCCAGACUCCUACGGGAGGCAGCAGUAGGGAAUCUUCGGCAAUGGGGGCAACCCUGACCGAGCAACGCCGCGUGAGUGAAGAAGGUUUUCGGAUCGGAAAGCUCUGUUGUAAGUCAAGAACGGGUGUGAGAGUGGAAAGUUCACACUGUGACGGUAGCUGACCAGAAAGGGACGGCUAACUACGUG